AGGCCAAAGUCAUCUGCGGCCCCCUAAAGUUGUCCGCAUAAUUCAUUUAGACACUUCAACUAGGGCUAGUACCUAUUGAACACUUUAACCUUAAGAAAUUUAUAUCUAUUGGACACAAAAUGAAAAUAAGUUGAAAAGCAAAAUCGCGUGUAGCUCAAACGCAAAUACAUAGCAGGUGUACCAAUGAAACAAUGACACGUGACAGUUGAAUUCAAUUUUUAAAAAAUUCUAUUUAAAUAAUCCAAGAAGAAUUUUAAGUAAAUAAAAAUAGUUUUUUUUAAUUAACUCCCCCACCCUGUCGUCUUCUUCUUCAACUGGUUUCCCUUCCCGUCGGCGUUGGCAUGCAAACAAUCGUCUCCUCACUCUUUCAUCGGCAUCAGCAACACCUCCAACCCAUUGCCUUCAUCUUCUUUCGAUUAAUAAAUAUUAUCACAGUUACAAGAAACAAUUAAAUUUUGAUCGGAAAAAAAUUGAUUCAAUUUACUUUCAUCAGAUUAAAUGGACCUUCACCAAAAUAUUAGAAAUCUGAAAAAAGAGGAAAAAACAGAAAAAUAAUUGAAGAGGAUGAGAGAAAGAGAGAGUUGGAGGGGUGGGUGGCAUGGAAGAAGACACAAUUAAUGUCAAUGAUAAUAAAGCAAAUAAGUGUACUUUUUCAGGAAAAAAAAGAGAGGAAAAUAUCAUUUGUUGGUAUCUAUACGCGCUCAUGGAAGGUGAAGAACACGUUUUUUGCCACAUCAGUAUUUUGUGCUUAAUAGAUACACAAUUUAAAUAUUUUAGGUGUUCAAUAGGUACUAGCUCUAGUUGAGGUGUUUAAAUGAAUUAUGCGGAC
rnacentral:lncRNA from 1 species